AAUAGAUACCCUGGUAGUCCACGCCGUAAACGAUGAGUGCUAAGUGUUGGGGGGUUUCCGCCCCUCAGUGCUGCAGCUAACGCAUUAAGCACUCCGCCUGGGGAGUACGGUCGCAAGACUGGAACUCAAAGGAAUUGACGGGGGCCCGCACAAGCGGUGGAGCAUGUGGUUUAAUUCGAAGCAACGCGAAGAACCUUACCAGGUCUUGACAUCCCGGUGACCACUAUGGAGACAUAGUUUCCCCUUCGGGGGCAACGGUGACAGGUGGUGCAUGGUCGUCGUCAGCUCGUGUCGUGAGAUGUUGGGCUAAGUCCCGCAACGAGCGCAACCCUUAUUCUUAGUUGCCAUCAUUCAGUUGGGCACUCUAAGGAGACUGCCGGUGAUAAACCGGAGGAAGGUGGGGAUGACGUCAAAUCAUCAUGCCCCUUAUGACCUGGGCUACACACGUGCUACAAUGGACGGUACAAACGGUUGCCAACCCGCGAGGGGGAGCUAAUCCGAUAAAAACCCGUUCUCAGUUCGGAUUGUAGGCUGCAACUCGCCUAC
rnacentral:rRNA from 1 species